rnacentral:sRNA from 1 species
CAGAAGUGACUCUAUCAGAGCACUCCCUGAGUUCCCAGGAGGUAAGCUCCCAGAAAAUGGAGCUCUGCAUGAGGGUGUCAUUGAAUCACCCUUUGCUAAGGAAAUUAGGCUUAUG